rnacentral:lncRNA from 1 species
CGAGGAGUAAAACGAGAUCGGGAGCAAGGGGAGGGGCAGUUGGCGGAGUGAGGUGUGGAGUGUAUGUUGUGGGGUGUUUUUUUCAUUGUUGUUUUCUUUUCCUAGUAGAGAACGUGGGGAGCGCACAACAGGUACGAUCGUGCGAGGGAGUCGGAGCGGUAUCGAUCCUGAGAUGGUGGGAGUUGGUCGAACCAUCACAACGACGAUAGAUUUCACUUUAAUAGUAGAGAUGAACAGUUUUAAAAAAUUAAAAAGAAACA